rnacentral:hammerhead_ribozyme from 1 species
GUACUGCUGAAGAGUCCCAAACCAGGAGGAAACUAUUGUCCAGUAU